GACGAACGCUGGCGGCGUGCUUAACACAUGCAAGUCGAACGGAAAGGCCCUGCUUUUGUGGGGUGCUCGAGUGGCGAACGGGUGAGUAACACGUGAGUAACCUGCCCUUGACUUUGGGAUAACUUCAGGAAACUGGGGCUAAUACCGGAUAGGAGCUCCUGCUGCAUGGUGGGGGUUGGAAAGUUUCGGCGGUUGGGGAUGGGCUCGCGGCUUAUCAGCUUGUUGGUGGGGUAGUGGCUUACCAAGGCUUUGACGGGUAGCCGGCCUGAGAGGGUGACCGGCCACAUUGGGACUGGGAUACGGCCCAGACUCCUACGGGAGGCAGCAGUGGGGAAUAGUGCACAAGGGGCGGAAGCCUGAUGCAGCAACGCCGCGUGCGGGAUGACGGCCUUCGGGUUGUAAACCGCUUUCGCCUGUGACGAAGCGUGAGUGACGGUAAUGGGUAAAGAAGCACCGGCUAACUACGUG
rnacentral:rRNA from 1 species